rnacentral:rRNA from 1 species
CGACGUGGAUAACCUGCCUCACACAGGAGGAUAACAGUUAGAAAUGACUGCUAAUACCGCAUAAGCGCACGGCAUCGCAUGAUGCAGUGUGAAAAACUCCGGUGGUGUGAGAUGGAUCCGCGUCUGAUUAGGUAGUUGGUGGGGUAACGGCCCACCAAGCCGACGAUCAGUAGCCGACCUGAGAGGGUGACCGGCCACAUUGGGACUGAGACACGGCCCAA